CCUACGGGAGGCAGCAGUGGGGGAUAUUGCACAAUGGGGGGAACCCUGAUGCAGCGACGCCGCGUGGGUGAAGAAGCGCCUCGGCGCGUAAAGCCCUGUCAGCAGGGAAGAAAAUGACGGUACCUGAAGAAUAAGCCCCGGCUAACUACGUGCCAGCAGCCGCGGUAACACGUAGGGGGCAAGCGUUAUCCGGAGUUACUGGGUGUAAAGGGGGCGCAGAGGGGGAUGCAAGCCAGGAGUGAAAGCCCGGGGGCCACACCCUGGACUGCUCUUGGAACUGCGUGGCUGGAGUGCAGGAGGGGCAGGCGGAAUUACUGGUGUAGCGGUGAAAUGCGUAGAUAUCAGGAGGAACACCGGUGGCGAAGGCGGCCUGCUGGACUGCAACUGACGUUGAGGCACGAAAGCGUGGGGAGCAAACAGGAUUAGAUACCCGAGUAGUC
rnacentral:rRNA from 1 species